rfam:Wohlfahrtiimonas chitiniclastica SH04 genomic scaffold scaffold_00001, whole genome shotgun sequence.
GUCUGACAUGGACCCACGGUAGCAAGUCUUGCUCCAUCAUUUGGCCGCGGCGCCAUGAC